AAAAACGAAGUUCUGGGUAAGAGGUGAGUCGGGAGGAAGUAGAGCGGAGACAUUGCUGGAACUGGCAGCAGAGGAGGUAAUGAGAUCUUAUUUCAUAUUUACAUCCAGCAAAUCCCCAUCAUGUCCGUCCUUUUCUUCCAUAGUCACUGUAAUGCCUUUUAUCUCCAACAGAUGAGGAUACACACAAGCACACUGAGAGAUAGAGAGAGAGACAUGUGAUGCCUUCAUAAAUAGAACUUCCCACUACAGGAUCAGAGUCUUGUGUGGAUCACAUCAAUGAGGAUGGAGGAGGAACCAAGUCACAUGACUGAGAGGAUGUUAGACCUCACCCUGGAGAUCAUCUACCUGCUGACUGGAGAGAGUUUUCCUCCAGUGAAGUCUGGUGACCAUCUAACUAUCACAGUGCCUUCACCUCACUCCUUGAAGCUCAAGAGAAACAAUUGCAAGAAAAUUCUAGAAGUCACCAAGAAGAUCGCUGAGCUGCUUACAGGAGAGGUUCCUAUAAGGUGUCAGGAUGUCGCUGUCUAUUUCUCCAUG